UACGGAGGGUGCAAGCGUUUGUCCGGAAUCACUGGGCGUAAAGGGCGCGUAGGCGGCUCAUGAAGGCUGUGGUGAAAGUCCGGGGCUCAACCUCGGAUCGGCCGUGGCGACUCGUGGGCUGGAGCACUGUAGAGGCGGGUGGAAUUCCGGGUGUAGCGGUGGAAUGCGUAGAGAUCCGGAAGAACACCAGUGGCGAAGGCGGCCCGCUGGGCAGUGGCUGACGCUGAGGCGCGACAGCGUGGGGAGCAAACGAGG
rnacentral:rRNA from 1 species